UCAUUGCUGGAACAAACGCCCUCACGGGUGCUACCCAGAAACCCUUUGUGAAUACUACCUAAAAAUGUUGCCUCGGCAUUGGUUGGCCUCCUCGAGGUCCCUUCCCCUUGGGGAAGGAGCAGAUCGGCCGGUGGCCUUAUAAACCCUUGUUUUUGUAAUAUCAUCUGAGUAAAAAAUAUAAAUAAAUCAAAACUUUCAACAACGGAUCUCUUGGUUCUGGCAUCGAUGAAGAACGCAGCGAAAUGCGAUAAGUAAUGUGAAUUGCAGAAUUCAGUGAAUCAUCGAAUCUUUGAACGCACAUUGCGCCCGGUGGUAUUCCACCGGGCAUGCCUGUUCGAGCGUCAUUUCAACCCUCAAAGCUUGCUUUGGUGUUGGAGGAAUACCCUGUGAAAAGGGUAUCCUCUGAAAUUUAGUGGCGGGCUCGCUAGAGUUUUGAGCGUAGUAAUUUUACCUCGUUUUUAAACACUAGUGGGACUUCUUGCCGUAAAACCCCCCAACUUUCUGA
rnacentral:rRNA from 1 species